rnacentral:tRNA from 2 species
GGUUUUAUAGUCAAUAUAUGAUAUUAGACUGCAAUUCUAAAGUAGUAAUUUUACUAAAACCU